CCCACCAUCUCCACUACCUUUGCUCCCCAUCAACUCCAACACUUCACCCAUUCCUUCCAUUUCGCACCAGCAAUCACAAAGAGAAGGAAGACUUGGCUUAACUACUUUGCCAAGAUUUCAAGCUGCUCCAGUCCAGUAGUACCCCAACACUCGAAGCUAGAGUUUAUUGGGUGAAAAACCGUGCAUGAGGUAAGGCAGCGAAUCUGCCAUAAGCACACUGCUCCGGCAGUGUUUUGCAAGGCGAUUCCAGCCAUCCAAACGGUUCCCAAAAAUUCUCAAAUUAAUUGUGUAUCAUCUUUCAUACAUUUUCUAUAUUUUGGUAAAAUUUCAGAAUAUUUAGAGCUCGCAUGAUUUAUUUAUGAAUUUGUAAACAUCACUGCCCAUCUGGAAUACAUUUUUGGUAAACAAUAUUUGGGAGAUCAUAAGUAAAGUUUCAAUCGGUGAAAACCUUUGAAACUUGAAUAUGUCACUCUAGACUCCCGUAUCUUUCUUUUGACAUCGGCCUCACCAUUUUUGAGUAAGGGAAACAACCGGUAUAAAUUCUUGAAAUCUAGUUCUUAUUCCAUGUACCAUCCAGUAGAUUUUACAAACCUACGACUUUGAGGUGGAAAAGGCCGACUUAAAUAUUUGAUUCUCAAGCCUAUCUUUCUACUGAAUAUUCACUGACAUGUUGGGAACUUACUUGUUCAGUUUUAGAAUUUUUGGUGAAGCUUAAAGUGGUUUUUCCGAUUUAUGUUCUGAAUCUGCCAAACUUGAACUCUUUUUGUGCACUGAACUUUUAGAUAGUCAUAUCUUCUAAACCAUGAAGGUUCUUAGAGUAAAUCCAACUGGAGAGUGUUAUGAUCUCUCCCUAGUUUCCAGAUUGACCUUUGGGGUUCCCAGUGGAGUUUUGUAAAGGGAGAUAUGAAUUUUUAAAGAAAGCCCACUGACUUGGUUGUAAUCUGGAAAUAUGAAAUUUACAGAUUUUUGCUUGUUAAAUACCCAUCUUUGAGAGGGCAUAUCUUGCUCGUUUGAAUUGUUUUUCAUUCGAUUCAAAUUGGAGAAUGAUCCUUGAAAUGUCUAGUUUCCAGAAUGUCUUUUGGAGCCUCAUUUGGAGAUCCGAGGUAGAUUAGGUGUCUGUUGUAAAACAACCCCUUAAGAGCUCAAGUUGUUGAAUUAUUUUCUAUGUAUCAAAGUUUAUUGUAAAGGAUGUUUCGUGAAAGAUUUAGUAUAUGUGCGUAACAAGUUUGGGACUAUUUAUUUUAAAUGAGGUCCGUUCUUUAUUUAAAUUAGGAUGGACUUUUAAUGAAUAUUUUUGGGAUUAAACUAUUAUUUCUUGAUUUAUAUAAAUUAUUUUUAAGGACUUAUAAAUAUGAAUUUCGUAGGCCUACUGACCUACUGUGAUCGACGGUUUGUCGAUGUCUAACAGCUUUGAAAAUUUUAUAGCAAGUCCCUACAUGAGUCUUGAGUACCCUGGUAAAAUUUCAAGCCAUUCCAACUUCGUAUGAUACUUCUUUAAAAUGCAAAACCUAAACUGCACAUUACUACUGAGAAUUUCAGAGAACAGAGAAAAGAGUCAUUUAUUUCAGUAGCUUCCUGGGUGAUCUAGCUUUCCAAAUUUUUAUGGUAUUAACCUUAUUGUGUUAUUUAGAUAUCCACCAAAGUUGAGCCCAGUUUGACAACGUUUACUAUUUUUCAAAAAUACAAGUUUUCGAUUGUUCAAAACUGCCGAACAUGGUAGAUCGUGGUAAAAACGUCAUAUCUCUCAAACCACUUGGAGUUUUCGACUCUAUUUUUUUUUAUAUGAAACUAGACUCGAAGAUCUUUCUUUCGGUAUGAGUCUCGAGUCCAGGAGAUGUCGGAGUCAGAACAGAUUAAAUUUUGAAGUUGAGUCAGUGUAAAAGCAGAGCAUGUUUUGAUGAUGUUUGAUUGUGAUUCUUAUGUGCCUUAUGUUGAGCCUUUUUAUUUUAUUUUAUUUUUUUUAAUUUUAUAACAUUACUUGUUCUUAUUUAUUAAGCCCGAUUAAUUAUGAGAUUAUAAAGCGAAUAAGUUGAAGUAUUUAUUUUCUAUUGACUACGAGGAGCGGGGUUUAUUUAAUUGACGGAUUAGAACACCCCGAAGAGAACGGAUUAAUUUUUGUUAAUUAUCCGGCUUCAUGAGACGAGACUUAGCUUUUGUUUAAAUCCGAUAGCCUGGAUUAACAAUAGAAAUUCCCUGAUUAUUAUCUCAGAAUAAUAGUUCAUGCAUACGAGAUUCAUGCAUAGUUUAAUUACGCAUUCUCAUUUAAUUGAGAAUUUUCCCUCGAUUUAAAGUCUUACGUUAUUUUCUCGGAUUAAAGGUCGAGCGCAAGAAUAAGAGCUCGUCAAGGAGUCACUAAUCUGUAGCAAAGCUUUGCUAUCAGGUGGGCAUUACUUUCAUAUAUAUCAAAUGAGUUUAAAUGUUACGUUCAAGCAAGUUAUUUCAUGACUAAAUUAAUUGAAGUUAUUUCAAAUAUUGUCUUGCCAUAAAAUGUUUAAAUUUUAGUAUGAUAUCUAUCUGAUGUGACUUUUAUCAUGUAAUCGAAUUCGGGUCUUGAGCAGUUGAUAGCUAUCCUGCCAGGGCUAGUGUACACCAGUGACCGUGAGUCAUCUAGCGGGUUGGCCGGUCAAGUGUCCGUGAGAGGUGGCCACCUCUCCGGCACACAGUUCCAGAUAUGAUAGAUUACAAGAGAACUUAGUCUGCAGACGAACUUUAAGAAUCACAAAUGAAUUUAGUAAGCUUGGGCCUUUUUAGCGAAAAACUCCCUUGCUGUACUGUUUAUGAUGGCAUGACAAUUUACAACUUUACGAAGCAUGUUAUAUUUCAUAGUAGGCAUAUGUGCCCACUGAGUACUUUUGUACUCAGCCCUGCAUAUAUUUCUAAAUGUGCAGGUUGAGCAGCUGCCGAUGGUGAUGAAGUGACGAGCGGGACUCUUUUGUCUUAUUAUGUAUUAAUGAACUCUAGGGUUACAUGUCUUCAUACAUGUAAUCAGAACCUUAUUCCGCUGCGUACUCAGAAGUUUUAUGUUAUUUUGGAUAAGUCGGAGUUAUCCGAACUUGUUAGUUAUUUGAGUCUAUACGACAAAAACUCUGUUAUAUUAUAGAUAUCUAUGUUGUUAACAAUGAUGAAAUACGAUCCUUUCUUGUUUGAUUAUUCCCCUUUCUACCCCGCUUCUAAUCUCCCUCCAUUAGCCACGAUUUCCCGGCUUAAUUAUCCUUAAUUAGGACCGGUCGUGACAGAGUGGUAUCAGAGCAGUUUAUUUGCUCUGAACCCUAGAGUUAACCAAUUUUUCUAGUAUGAUCACUAGUAUGAAAGAGUCAGUCGACAAAAG
rnacentral:lncRNA from 1 species